GACGUUAGGCAAUGCUGAGAUCGUCUCCCAUGUCCUCGCCGGCCUCGACCUCGACUACAACCCGGUCGUGUCGGCUCUUGCAGCGCGGGUUGAGCCCGUGACUGUCCAGGAACUAUUCACCCAACUGCUCAGCUUCGACA
rfam:Triticum aestivum genome assembly, contig: Triticum_aestivum_CS42_TGACv1_scaffold_030761_1BL